rnacentral:rRNA from 1 species
UACGUAGGUGGCAAGCGUUGUCCGGAAUUAUUGGGCGUAAAGCGCGCGCAGGCGGCUUCUUAAGUCUGAUGUGAAAUCUCGGGGCUCAACCCCGAGCGGCCAUUGGAAACUGGGAAGCUUGAGUACAGAAGAGGAGAGUGGAAUUCCACGUGUAGCGGUGAAAUGCGUAGAUAUGUGGAGGAACACCAGUGGCGAAGGCGACUCUCUGGUCUGUAACUGACGCUGAGGCGCGAAAGCGUGGGGGAGCAAACAGG